UUUCCUUGAAUUAUUUGUUGGAAUUUUAUGUUGUUUCUAUGAUUUCAUAAAAUCUUUUAAAGUGUCAUUGCAUCUCGGUUUAUUGCAUUGAAAUGUUACAAUGAUGUUGGAACGUAUAUUGGUAUGAAGAUUUGUGGUUUUGUGUUGUCGAAAUGGUUUAUGGUGUGAUUGCAUUGCAAGAAGGAUAUGGAAUUAUCACAGAUCAUAUUCAGAG
rnacentral:lncRNA from 1 species